rnacentral:rRNA from 1 species
GCAUAUCAAUAAGCGGAGGAAAGAACUAACAAGGAUUCCCUAGUAACGGCGAGUGAAGCGGGAUGAGCUCAAAUUUAAAAUCUGGCUGGUUUACUAGUCCGAAUUGUAGUUUAAAGAAGCGUUUUCGGUGGCAGCCUGGGUAUAAAUCCUUUGGAAUAGGGUAUCAUAGAGGGUGAGAAUCCCGUCUUUGACUCAGUGCAUGCUACUAUGUGAUACGUUUUCAAAGAGUCGAGUUGUUUGGGAAUGCAGCUCAAAAUGGGUGGUAAAUUUCAUCUAAAGCUAAAUAUUGGCGAGAGACCGAUAGCGAACAAGUACCGUGAGGGAAAGAUGAAAAGAACUUUGAAAAGAGAGUUAAAUAGUGCGUGAAAUUGUUGAAAGGGAAACGUUUGACACCAGUCAUGCGGGUGGAAAAUCAGUCUUUUGGGGUGGGGAGUGGUAGGAGUUCAGACCGCAAGGCUGGCUUUUGCUUCAUCUCUGUCCUAAAGGAUGCACUUUUUCAUCUGCAGGUCAACAUCAGUUUCUUCUGCUGGACAAAACUCCGAGAGAAGGUAGCAGCUUAGGCUGUGUUAUAGCUCUGGAGCGAUACAGUGGAGGGGACUGAGGUUUUCGCAGUGUGUGCUCUCGGGCAAGGUCGACUGGGUGCUAUGUGAUCGUUCGGUGUACAAUGCAUGCAUUUUGCGCUGUGUCUUUUGCAUACUCGCCUGAAUCGACUCUUCCACGCUUAGGAUGUUGACUUAAUGGUUUUAAACGACCCGUCUUGAAACACGGACCAAGGAGUCUAACAUAUAUGCAAGUGUUUGGGUGGCAAACCCAUACGCGUAAUGAAAGUGAACGUAGGUGCGAUCCGCAAGGUGCAGCAUCGACCGAUCUUGAUAUUUUUGGAUAGAUUUGAGUAAGAGCAUAUAUGCUGGGACCCGAAAGAUGGUGAACUAUGCCUGAAUAGGGUGAAGCCAGAGGAAACUCUGGUGGAGGCUCGUAGCGAUUCUGACGUGCAAAUCGAUCGUCAAAUUU